UACGAAGGGGGCAAGCGUUGUUCGGAAUUACUGGGCGUAAAGCGCGCGUAGGCGGCGUCGUCAGUCAGAGGUGAAAUCCCAGGGCUCAACCUUGGAAUUGCCUUUGAUACUGCGAUGCUUGAGUUCGAGAGAGGGUGGCGGAAUACCCAGUGUAGAGGUGAAAUUCGUAGAUAUUGGGUAGAACACCAGUGGCGAAGGCGGCCACCUGGCUCGAUACUGACGCUGAGGUGAGAAAGCGUGGGGAGCAAACAGG
rnacentral:rRNA from 1 species